UGCGCAGACUCAGCGCAUACCGGAAGUUCCUCUUUCUCUCUCUAACGUGGACCGUCGUGUGAGGAGCAUCAGCACCGCCAUGCAGCUAGUCUAAUAUCUCCACAGGACCUGAAACAAGGUGCUGGAUAAUGACUGGAAAUGACACGUCUUCUCUAUAUGCUAUCUCAUCCCGUUUUCCAAGCAAAAUAAAUCUUGUUCUGAUGAGGGAAAUAUCAUGUUAGAGCUUCAUCUUUGUUAUGAAGUCAGAAAAAUUCAGCCUUGCUUGGAAGGUAAGUAUGAAACACAUUAACUUGGGUCACAGCUGCAUUGUUUCACAUCUGUCAGAAACCACAAAUGUAAAUAUUUUAAAUGCAUUACUGUUUUGUAAUAAAAACAGUCUUUAAUAUUUUAAAUGCAUAUAUAUCUCAAGGUUUUCUUCUCUAAAUUUGAUUCUCUAAUAAAAUUUGGAAGAAAAAGAAA